rnacentral:rRNA from 1 species
GACGGAGGGCGCGGGCGUUAUUCGGAUUUAUUGGGUUUAAAGGGUGCGUAGGCGGCCUGUUAAGUCAGGGGUGAAAGACGGUAGCUCAACUAUCGCAGUGCCCUUGAUACUGAUGGGCUUGAAUGUACUAGAGGUAGGCGGAAUGUGACAAGUAGCGGUGAAAUGCAUAGAUAUGUCACAGAACACCAAUUGCGAAGGCAGCUUACUAUGGUAUUAUUGACGCUGAGGCACGAAAGCGUGGGGAUCAAACAGG